rnacentral:rRNA from 1 species
CAAGGGGGUCAUCCCGACUUACCAACCCGAUGCAAACUGCGAAUACCGGAGAAUGUUAUCACGGGAGACACACGGCGGGUGCUAACGUCCGUCGUGAAGAGGGAAACAACCCAGACCGCCAGCUAAGGUCCCAAAGUCAUGGUUAAGUGGGAAACGAUGUGGGAAGGCCCAGACAGCCAGGAUGUUGGCUUAGAAGCAGCCAUCAUUUAAAGAAAGCGUAAUAGCUCACUGGUCGAGUCGGCCUGCGCGGAAGAUGUAACGGGGCUAAACCAUGCACCGAAGCUGCGGCAGCGACACUAUGUGUUGUUGGGUAGGGGAGCGUUCUGUAAGCCUGUGAAGGUGGCCUGUGAGGGUUGCUGGAGGUAUCAGAAGUGCGAAUGCUGACAUAAGUAACGAUAAAGCGGGUGAAAAGCCCGCUCGCCGGAAGACCAAGGGUUCCUGUCCAACGUUAAUCGGGGCAGGGUGAGUCGACCCCUAAGGCGAGGCCGAAAGGCGUAGUCGAUGGGAAACAGGUUAAUAUUCCUGUACUUGGUGUUACUGCGAAGGGGGGACGGAGAAGGCUAUGUUGGCCGGGCGACGGUUGUCCCGGUUUAAGCGUGUAGGCUGGUUUUCCAGGCAAAUCCGGAAAAUCAAGGCUGAGGCGUGAUGACGAGGCACUACGGUGCUGAAGCGACAAAUGCCCUGCUUCCAGGAAAAGCCUCUAAGCAUCAGGUAACAUCAAAUCGUACCCCAAACCGACACAGGUGGUCAGGUAGAGAAUACCAAGGCGCUUGAGAGAACUCGGGUGAAGGAACUAGGCAAAAUGGUGCCGUAACUUCGGGAGAAGGCACGCUGAUAUGUAGGUGAAGCGACUUGCUCGUGGAGCUGAAAUCAGUCGAAGAUACCAGCUGGCUGCAACUGUUUAUUAAAAACACAGCACUGUGCAAACACGAAAGUGGACGUAUACGGUGUGACGCCUGCCCGGUGCCGGAAGGUUAAUUGAUGGGGUUAGCGGUAACGCGAAGCUCUUGAUCGAAGCCCCGGUAAACGGCGGCCGUAACUAUAACGGUCCUAAGGUAGCGAAAUUCCUUGUCGGGUAAGUUCCGACCUGCACGAAUGGCGUAAUGAUGGCCAGGCUGUCUCCACCCGAGACUCAGUGAAAUUGAACUCGCUGUGAAGAUGCAGUGUACCCGCGGCAAGACGGAAAGACCCCGUGAACCUUUACUAUAGCUUGACACUGAACAUUGAGCCUUGAUGUGUAGGAUAGGUGGGAGGCUUUGAAGUGUGGACGCCAGUCUGCAUGGAGCCGACCUUGAAAUACCACCCUUUAAUGUUUGAUGUUCUAACGUGGGCCCCUUACCGGGGUUGCGGACAGUGUCUGGUGGGUAGUUUGACUGGGGCGGUCUCCUCCUAAAGAGUAACGGAGGAGCACGAAGGUUGGCUAAUCCUGGUCGGACAUCAGGAGGUUAGUGCAAUGGCAUAAGCCAGCUUGACUGCGAGCGUGACGGCGCGAGCAGGUGCGAAAGCAGGUCAUAGUGAUCCGGUGGUUCUGAAUGGAAGGGCCAUCGCUCAACGGAUAAAAGGUACUCCGGGGAUAACAGGCUGAUACCGCCCAAGAGUUCAUAUCGACGGCGGUGUUUGGCACCUCGAUGUCGGCUCAUCACAUCCUGGGGCUGAAGUAGGUCCCAAGGGUAUGGCUGUUCGCCAUUUAAAGUGGUACGCGAGCUGGGUUUAGAACGUCGUGAGACAGUUCGGUCCCUAUCUGCCGUGGGCGCUGGAGAACUGAGGGGGGCUGCUCCUAGUACGAGAGGACCGGAGUGGACGCAUCACUGGUGUUCGGGUUGUCAUGCCAAUGGCACUGCCCGGUAGCUAAAUGCGGAAGAGAUAAGUGCUGAAAGCAUCUAAGCACGAAACUUGCCCCGAGAUGAGUUCUCCCUGACUCCUUGAGAGUCCUGAAGGAACGUUGAAGACGACGACGUUGAUAGGCCGGGUGUGUAAGCGCAGCGAUGCGUUGAGCUAACCGGUACUAAUGAACCGUGAGGCUUAACCUU